CCAGGAUUGAGUGAUUUUGUGAUUGCAGAAAUGAACGAAAAAUCAAGGAAACUCUGCAAUAUUCUGAGGAGCUUGGCAUUUUUAAAAAUCACCGCAAAUCUUCUGCAGAUUUGAGCAAAGAAACGCGAUGUGACGUCAUCGCAACGCACAUUCAGUCAAAGCCCUCUGCAAUUCGCGUGUGUAGGACAUGAGUACGGCUAAAAGGUCUUUUACCAACAAAUAUCACUGCAAAAGAGCAUGCAAAACUUUUUAAUGCAAUUGCAAUUUCUCCAAUUCAAGAAGUUUUAUAAAAUGAAUCAGUUGAUUUGUUAAUUGUUCUCCUUUUUAACUGUGAAAUGAAAUCGUUGAAUUUUUUUUAACAUCAGUACAACAUCAGUGCUAAUCUUUGCUUAAAUAUAAUACAGUACUCAAAGCAGUAGCUUAGCAUGCUUAGCUUUUAGCGCUCUCUCUCUCUCUCUCUCUCUCUCUCUCUCUCUCUCUCUCUCUCUGGGUGUCUCAUACUCUCUUUUCUGUGAGUCGGACAGAUUUUGUGAUUAAUCAGUCAAGGCGACGUGACUCUCCAGGGCUCUCGGAUCGCAAAUAUUGGGAUUGGGUUGUCGUGCGAGCGAGCAGCGAGCAGAUGGCCCGCGGAUGUUCGGUUGAGGACGUGAGGCGAUUGAUUCCGGCUAACACACACCCCCUCGUUAGCCUGAAAACACCUCUGGGACGGCAGUCAAGUGCCUGUCUAACCUCGCGUGCCAAAAAAAGCCCCUAAAGAGAGACGAAUUUGAGACGGAGCCGCUCUCCUGCCCCCUCUGUAAUAACGGAGGACUGACAGAGAGAGGAAAUUACCCCUCUCAGGAAGACAGAGAGGGGCAGAUUCAGCAGCGGGGGGGUUAAUCUGGCUAAAGCAGCGGUGGACACCAAACACACUUCAUCACUGGGCCACAGCAGAAUCUCAGCAGUGACUCACUGAAGGUGGACUAGUCUCAUCACACACUCAUCUCUCAGCAGAUGGAAAUGACAAGCUUCCAUCAGUGUUGGAGAAAAAAGGGAGGGAAAAAUCCCAUCCUCAUGCUCAUCUCUCAUCUCUCUGUUCUUUAAUUUCAUCCAGUCAUCAGUGUACAUUAAACAGGAUAAAAACGUUUUGGAGUGUGUGUGUUUCCGUUUCACAAAGCCAGACAGGAACGAGCUAGAGGAGGGGAAACGCUGACGACGCUGACUGCAGCUAUUAUUGCUGAAUAACGUUUGAAGAUUACAGAGAAGAGUUACACACUUCAAACACAGACAGUGAGUGUGUGAGCUCUUAAUAUACUCACUGGGAUGGAGCUACACACACAUGCACAUACACACACACAUACACAUACAUGCCAUUCACAUGGCAUUAUAUGGGACCAUGCAUAGCACAAGUUACUAAAUUAUCAUGAUGCUGUUCUUAAAAAAAUACAAAUUAAUAGAAUGUUAAUAUCUGCAAAAUAAUUGUCUUUAUGCCACAUUUCCAAACACAAAGGCAGACUAUUUUCUAAAUAAAAUGCAAGGCAGUCACCUACUUAAUUUUUCAUGAAUGAAGAGCAAAAAUGUUAUAACAUUUACUGCUAAAUUAUCUACAAUAAGAAUAUCCUGAAUAUCGCUAUUGUACAACCGAUUAUCAGCCCACUCCCAAUCCUGAGCCACUUCCCUUUUAGAGACAUAAAACAAAAAGUGCUGUGUCGCCUUAUAGCCACAAUUUCCGUCACUUCACUUCAACAGAAUCACACAAAGCAUUUUCAAAAAUAAUAUUAAAAAUGAUAGUUGUUAUAUUAUGAAUCAAUUGUGACGCUACAAUAGAUUUCAAUUCCUUCUAAUAAAUAAAUCUGUAGAUUUACCCAAAACAAAAAAAAACAAUGCCCCCUAUUUUCCCUAAAAAUACAAAAAUGUUAUAAUAUUCACUACUAAAUUAUCUACUAUAACAAUAUUGUGAAUAUCGGGAUAUAUUGUAUAACCUGUAAUUGGCCCAAAACCAAUCUAGUACAACUUCCUUUUUAGAUGCAUAAAUACAAAAUAAGAGCCAUGUCACAUUAUAACUACAAAAUUUCCUUCACUUCACUUCAACACUAACACACACAAAAUGUCUGUAAUUCAGUGACAGCUUUAAAGCCUUGCUAUAAUAUGUGUAGAUUUCUGUCAAAAUGUCAUUUUGUCAAAAGGGGAGAAAAGAAAGCAUAUGUGUGUAUGUUUCGGUGCAAACACAGCAGCAGGGUGUAUGUGUAUGUGUGUGUGAAACUGUAGCCAGCUAAAAUAAGGCCUUUUUUGGGGCUCAGAGAUAAGAGAUGGAAAUUGCCACUGGAGAAAAUGAGGGUUAUUCAGCACUCCGAUAAGCACCUAUUUGCUUUUGGUCAUAAUGCCUUCUCACACUUUAUAAAUCAUCAUUUAAUUACGCAGACGAGCGGCUGAUUGUCGGCCUGGCUGGCCCGCCGGCGCACAGCCACGCACAAAGAGGGAAAUUAUACGUGUCCUUGGCAUUUCAAUCAUCAUCACUAAUGCAUUAGCGUUCAAUUACAUCAGACACUUUCAGCAAGUGCAAAAAAAUCUAAAGACAAAAAAAGGGAGUGAAGAGGGAAAAGAGGAUGGGGAGAAAAAUUUACGUUGUUUAUAAUAUAACGCGUAUAUUUUUGUCCCCCUCCUCGUUUCCCUGUAUAUAACUGAGGAGCUAUAAUUUACUAAAUAAAUCAUUAUCAAAAGAUACAUGUAUUUAAAAUAUUCUCUAUUUUGAUUUUUUUAAUCAUAUAAUGAUUAUAGAAUAAUAUCAUUAUUAUAUUAUAUAGUGAUAUAAG
ensembl:lncRNA